UACGGAGGGUGCAAGCAUUAAUCGGAUUUAUUGGGCGUAAAGGGCGCGUAGGCGGCCUUGCAAGUCAGAUGUGAAAGCCCGGGGCUCAACCCCGGAACUGCAUUUGAAACUGCUUGGCUUAGAGGGUGGUCGGAGAAAAUGGAAUUCCACAAGUAGCGGUGAAAUGCGUAGAUAUGUGGAAGAACACCAGUGGCGAAGGCGGUUUUCUAGAUUACUCCUGACGCUGAGGCGCGAAAGCUAGGGGA
rnacentral:rRNA from 1 species